GACGAACGCUGGCGGCGUGCUUAACACAUGCAAGUCGAACGGAAAGGCCCUGCUUUUUUGGGCUGCUCGAGUGGCGAAGGAGUGAGUAACACGUGAGUAUCCUCACCUUCAUUUUCGGAUAAGCUCAGGAAACUGGGGCUAAUACCGGAUAGGAGCUCAUGCCGGAUGGUGGGGGUUGGAAAGUUUCGGCGGUCGGGGAUGGACUGGCCGGUUAUCAGCUUAUUGGUGGGGUAGUGGCUUACCAAGGCAGUGUGCGGUAGCCUGACUGGGAGGGUGACCGGCCACAUAAGGACUGAGAUACGGGCCAGACUGCAACAGGUGACAACGGUCGGGAACAUUAUACAAUGGGCCGAAGCCUGCUGCAACACCGCUGCGGUCGGGAUGUCGGCUUGCGGGUUGUAAACCGCUUUCGCCUGUGACCAAGCGUGAAUGACGGUAAUGGGAAAAGAAGCACCGGCUAACUACGUG
rnacentral:rRNA from 1 species